CAAAGAAUCUGAGAGCUUAUUUUACUUGCAAGCUAACAAAUUGAUGUCAGAGUUCCAUAGAUGCAAGUAGAAGACACAACACUCUAAGGAUUCCAAUACACAGGAGAGCCGCUGUUUUCCCAUCCAAGACAUCCUAAAGUUAUCUGUAAAGGAGACUUUGGCCCCAGGACAAUGCCUCAACCACCAAAGGACCUGUAGUAAACAUUUGUGGAUGCUCUGUUUAUACCCAACACUGAACUAACUGCUAAAGAACAUGCGAGAAUGCAUAGGACGCAGAUAAGU